rnacentral:rRNA from 1 species
AAUGAACGUUGGCGGCGUGGAUUAGGCAUGCAAGUCGAGCGAGAAUCGUAGCAAUACGAGGACAGCGGCGAAAGGGAGAGGAACACGUGGACACGUACCCUCGGGUUCAGGAUAGCCGUGGGAAACUAUGGGUAAUACUGAAUAACCUCCCCGGAUCAAAGGUGUGAUUCCGCCCGGGGAGCGGUCCGCGUCCUAUUAGCUUGUUGGUGAGGUAACGGCUCACCAAGGCAAAGAUGGGUAUGGGGUGUGAGAGCAUGCCCCCACUCACUGGGACUGGGACACUGCCCAGACACCUACGGGUGGCUGCAGUCGAGAAUCUUCGGCAAUGGGGGAAACCCUGACCGAGCGACGCCGCGUGCGGGAUGAAGGCCUUCGGGUUGUAAACCGCUGUCAGAGGGGAGGAAAUGCCGGUGGGUUCUCCAUCGGUUUGACCUAGCCUCAGAGGAAGGACGGGCUAAGUUCGUGCCAGCAGCCGCCGCUG